AAAUGAUACUUGAACAACCUGUUUUGACAACAUUUAGACACUGGACGCGUGUCUAAAUGUGACUGGUGCACGUGGAAUUGUUUUUUAAAAUGAAAGAAUGACGUGGCAAUGAGAGAAUUGGGGGCAGAUUCAAAUUGUAGGGUUAUUUCGAAAAUUUCAGAUUGAAAUGUUUUCAGAGAGAGAAGGUGGAGAACAUUUCACGGAGCACCGAACCUUCGAACCUUCGAGCCAGCCACCACAACUCUCGCCGGAUAUCUGCCGCCCGUAGACGUUGUCGUUGCCGUUUUCGCUCCAUCCAGUGCCGCCGUAGUGCCGCCGGUGUCCGUCGUCUUCCACCCAGCCAGGCAGUUCGGAUUGCGGGUCGCCGCAGCUCCGGCGUCGGCAGACGAACCGAAGACGGCAUCGUCUUCCCUCCGGCCCAGCCAACCAAGGGCGCGUUUUGAGUAUCAUCGAUUCCUCUCACCCGCUUCCUUCCCUGUGCCGGACCCUUGCGGUGGCCGCUAGAGCAUCGCCGGAGUGUCGUCGAAGUGUCGCCGGACCCUUUCAAGGAGACUAGAAAUGAACAAAUUAUCUGAGGAUGUGUCUUCGUUUGUAAAUUGCCUUAGUCUUUCUUUGAUAUUUGAUUGUGGAGUAAUUGUUUUGAAAAUUAUGGAGUUGUGGGAUGACAUCAAGAAAUACGAAGGCAACACAAUGCCAGUUACACAAUAGUAAGUUGUAAAAAUUUUCAAGUUCUGGAGCUUUGAUAAAAAUGGUGCAUUUUAUUGAUAUGUUGUGCAUUUUUGUCUUCGCAUGAGGAACUACAACAGGUUAGGAAGAAGCAUGUUUGUGAUUGGAUUUUGGAUGUGGACAAUGUGCGGAGGGCUGAAGUGUUGCCAGAUUUAGGCAUUGUGUAGAUGUUGUUGAAUAGGGAUUUUUGUAAUGUUAUUGAUGAUUUGUUUAUAACUUUUUCAAUAUGUAUUAAUGAUGACUGAAUGUACAUAUUUGUUGUUAAAAGUGUUCAAAGAAAAGUAGUGAUUACAUUUAUUGUUAAUGAAAUUUGAAGAUCAUAAUGAUCAAUGUUUUAAAUGUUUGCACUGUAGUCCCCACUAAAUUUGGAUGUGAUUAUUUAUGAAAUCUUGUAUGUACAAGGUUCUAUGUAGAAAUAAUGAUUAAAAUAAAUUGGGUAAGUGCCAAUGAAUGCAUCAACAUGAGUUAGAUGUCCAUUAAGUUUGCAGAAAAAACCUUUGCCUGAAAUAAUAAUUGGUUCCACAUCACUUUUUAGUUGAAAAAAUGAUUUGAAAUAAAUUAGUCACUUCAAAAUAAGUGUCAUAUUCAUAGUUGACCUGCCUGUGUAAAACUUUUGCCUAAAGUACCCACUUAAUUUGCCUUUGCUACCAUUGUUGUUUCUGCACUAUGAAUUUUACUAGAUAUGGUUCCUUCGCUAUGGAAUUGUAUAUGAAUGGCAUAAUAAUUGAUUUCACAUCACUUUAAGUUCAAAAAAUGAUGAGAAAUAAAUUAGGCACUCCAAAAUGAUUGUAAUAUUUAUAGUUGACCUGCCUGUGCAAAACCUUUACCUGAAGUACCCACUUAUUUUGCCUUUGCUACCAUUAUUGUUUUUGCACCAUGAAUUUUACUAGAUAUGGUUCCUUCGCCAUGGAAUUGUAUAUGAAUGGCAUAAUAAUUGAUUCCACAUCACUUUAAGUUCCAGAAAUGAUGAGAAAUAAAUUAGGCACUCUAAAAUGACUGGAAUAUUCAUAGUUGACCUGCCUGUGCAAAACCUUUACCUGAAGUACCCACUUAUUUUGCCUUUGCUACCAUUGUUGUUUCUGCACCAUGAAUUUUACUAGAUAUGGUUCCUUGGUCAUGGAAUUGUAUAUGAAUGACAUAAUAAUUGGUUUCACAACACUUUUAA